rnacentral:rRNA from 1 species
ACGAACGCUGGCGGCGUGCUUAACACAUGCAAGUCGCACGGAAAGGCCCUGCUUUUGUGGGGUGCUCGAGUGGCGAACGGGUGAGUAACACGUGAGUAACCUGCCCUUGACUUUGGGAUAACUUCAUGAAACUGGGGCUAAUACCGGAUAGGAGCUCCUGCUGCAUGGUGGGGGUUGGAAAGUUUCGGCGGUUGGGGAUGGACUCGCGGCUUAUCAGCUUGUUGGUGGGGUAGUGGCUUACCGAGGCUUUGACGGGUAGCCGGCCUGAGAGGGUGACCGGCCACAUUGGGACUGAGAUACGGCCCAGACUCCUACGGGAGGCAGCAGUGGGGAAUAUUGCACAAUGGGCGGAAGCCUGAUGCAGCAACGCCGCGUGCGGGAUGACGGCCUUCGGGUUGUAAACCGCUUUCGCCUGUGACGAAGCGUGAGUGACGGUAAUGGGUAAAGAAGCACCGGCUAACUACGUG